GGGGUUGUGUUCUGGCCAUGGUCACUCACAUGGAGGUAGUGAUGGGGGUUGUGUUCUGGCCAUGGUCACUCACAUGGAGGUAGUGAUGGGGAGGGGUUAUGUUUUGAUGGUACGUGUUACGCUACUGAUCUUUUAAGAUAAUGACAUACACACUUUUUUUUUGUGUUUUUUUCAUCCAGAUCUUUUAAAGUCUCUUCAGUUUUCUUCACAAACAGCAACCUUGUUUCUUUGUCUGAGUCAUGAAUAAUAUAUUGUUAAGUAUUUUUGGAAUCUUUUUUUUUUUUUUGUAAAUACAAAAAAACUGUAAAAAGAAAAAUAAUACAUGUAAAGUUGUCUUUUUUUUAAAUACUUUUCAUUCUAAUAUGAUGAAUAUUGUUAUAUUACACUUAAGAAAACAAAACCUGUACCUUUUUUAAUAUUGUGACCUUUUAUUAAAAGUGCAUUGGACACAGCAGUUCUCGGGGUGUGUAAUGUGUGGUUGUCCCAGAAUUAAAAUGGCAGCUUUGAGAGAAGCUAGCAAUCA